CAGGCUGCUGGGCUCAGAGCAUUGUUUGUAAUCCGUCAGUGAUCCAAAGUCCAGCGUGCCUGAGGGAUCAAUACUCAGACCAGGAGUGGUUUAAGCUUUAUUAAUGACCAGGACAGCAGGACAGGGAGCAAUAAAAUUCCCACUGUGGAAGCAGUGGAUGCACUGGGCUGCUGUUCAGAAGGACCAUGGCAAAUGGCUCAGCACUAGUGAGGCCAUGGGCCCAGUUUGGGGCUCCCAGGUCAAGAUAUGGACUUUUAGGAUAAAGUCCAGCACAGGGCCACCAAAACAGUCAAUGGGCUGGAGCACAGGAUGUACAAGAAGAGUCAGGGUGAGCUGUGGCUGCUCAAACUGGAAAGAGAAUUUAAAUUCCCAGCACAAGGGGAUUUAUCACUGCCUGGGCCUAGCCCACGGAGGUUGCAGAGGAUGGAGCCGGGCUCUUCUCAGAAGGGCACAAGGAAAGCAGGAUGGAAGGGGGCUGGAAUCUUCUAGAUUCUGCAACAAUCUAAAGGAAAGAAACAUGAGGAUAAAGAUGUCCCAAGGAAGGUCACUGAUAAGAGAAUGAGCACCUCUUUAUACCUGUGGAGUAACCACCAUCCUGGCACAGGGAAAAUCCACACUCAAGGCCACAAAUCACACAGCAGCAUGAAUCACACCUAUUUAUUACAUCGACCUUCUGGAUCAGAUGAUCUGCAAAAACUCAGUCUGGCCCAGGAAGAAAGUUCUGGGAUGCUUGGAACUGGCAGGGGACCUCUGCACUUCCUCAUGACCAAGGGCUCCAGCUUGUUUACUUCUAGCCCAGCUAAUUUCAGAACCAACAGCUGCACAGGGAGGAGGAGCAGGGAAGGGCAGCUCUGGGAACUGACCUGUUUGGUAACACUGCCCUCGUCUGACUGAAGACGCCUUGAGCUGUGGAGUGCCCUUCAUAUCACAAUUAUAUCAAUGAAAAAUCAAAUAUUUCAGCUCCACGGACAGUGCAGGGUGACUGGGAGAGGAUGAGAGCUGGAUGCUGAGGGGCUUGAAGCAGCAGAGGUGAUAGAGGCAAACGGAGGAGCAAGUAACAAAAUUUUGUCUUGAAAGACAUGAGAGAAGGUGACUGUGUGAAGGAGCAGCAGGGGAAUAAAAAGGAAGAUGCUCUAAAGGAGACAGAAUUUGGGAAAGGAUGUGGAAGCAUAAAGGGUGGCUGUGAAGCAAAGCAGAGAAGGAAGAAUAGAACAAGAGAGUGAAACAGCUCCCUCUGGAGCAGACCUAGAAGAGAGAAUUUAAACCAUUGCUGGAGCCACAGCAGGGCUUUAACUUCUCACACAAGGGAGUGAUUUCCCCUGUCAGUACUGAAAACUUACAGAACCAAAUACUUCAUCAAGCACAACCAACUCUGCUCUUCAGCAUGGCAAAAUACUCCAAACUUCUGUAAGUGAUGCUGGAUGGACCAUCAUGAUAGAAACAAGGACACAUGGAAUGGUUUGGGUUGGAAGGGACCUUAAAGAUCACCCAGUUCCAGCCCCUGCCUGCCAUGGGCAGGGACACCUUCCACUAUCCCAGGUUGCUCAGAGCUCCAUCCAACCUGGCCUUGGACACUUCCAGGGAUGGGCCAUCCCCUUCUCCAUUUGCCUGGAAGCAGGAGGGAGGCUACAGUGCCACCUCAAAUCAGUCACUUGCCACAGAAAAUUCCCACCUGCUCCUCGGUCUUUAUUAAUCGUAAUCUAAUUAAUCAUCUCAUUAAUUGUAUCAAGAGAGACAGAGCACUUGAGCAGUGGGUGUGGAGGGGACACAUGCUGUAUUGCCACAUGCUAAUUUGGACAAAUCCUGAGAGAUGUUUGAACUUGUUCCUCUACUGCAAAAGAGAGAUCCUGUUCAUCACAGAAAAAAUAAAAUCGCCAUGCAGCAACAACCCCUGUUCAAGUUUGUGAUUUGCCUUAAAGCACAGCUGAAAGCACUUUUGUUUUUCUGCAGAGUCAGACCUUUAUAGAUCAAUCAUGCGAAGAGGUUUCCUGCAGCUGUGAUUUUUAAAAACUUCCCAGGUGCUUUUUGUUUCCCUUUCAGUGCUCUCAGAAUCUAUAUAAAGUGGGGAGGUAAUAGGAAGCUUCCCUUUUAGUGUUUUUGAUUGUGUGUGUUGCUGUUUUCUUAAGAGGCAUUGUACGUUCUGGGCUAAGAGAUGCAAUUAUUGCAACUUCCCUGUGCCAGGAGAGGCCUCACCUGGGAAGAUUAUUCCAUGAGCCAGCAGUAGGGUGUCCAUGAUGGUCCAUGACUUGCUCACUUUCCCUGAAGAACCCUUAUCCCCAACACCAAGAGUCUGGAAAAGUCCUGGCCUUCAAAGAGGAAGAUGGAACACGUGGGACAGUGGUGUUUUAGCACUGAACAAAGGCUUAGAGAGCACUGAAAAGGAGCUGACCCAGCAGAUCUCUGGUUUGUCACUGGGUGUAAUUACAGGGGAACUUUCCUAUCACACACCUGAGGGUGUCCCUGGCUAAAGGGAAAAACCUGGGGAUGCCACCUGUAGUGGUUUUGGUUCACCAAUUUGAGAUUUCCCAGUUGGUGUGGUGGGUUCAGUGCUGCCCAAUCACCAGUGCACUCACUAAAAUGUAUUUACUCACUUCUUGCUGUGAGAUAGGAUUAGGAGAAAGGCAAAGCAGGCUCAGAACUUUAAAAGGGUAUAAAGAAAAAAUUAUUAACUGUAACUAAAAGAAAGGGUAAUAAGAAUCAGAACAAAACCUUCAGGACACUUCUCCCCUUACAACCUUUCCUUUCCCACUAACAAUGUAAAGAAACAUAACCUAAAAUUUCAGUCAGUUUACCACCUCUAAAAUAGUCUUUCUUCAGCUCACUUAGGGAGAGGAGUACCUCUUGUUAAUGUUAUGGAGAUUUCUCCACAAUAAAACAGUUCUUUGGUGGCUCUGUUGUCACUCCUCUUUCAGCACAGAGCAUGUCAUGUCUGCUCAGAGAAACAGCACCAGGGUUCAGCAGUGCAUUAGGAGAGGUAUUAAUUCAUGUUCUGACAGCUCACCCUCCCUCUGCUUUCCUCUCAAAGCUCUGAAUUUCAUAGCCUGUCAUCCUGGAGGGAUG